rnacentral:rRNA from 1 species
AAACUUUCAACAACGGAUCUCUUGGUUCUCGCAUCGAUGAAGAACGCAGCGAAAUGCGAUACGUAAUGUGAAUUGCAGAAUUCCGUGAAUCAUUGAAUUUUUGAACGCACAUUGGCCCCUUGGUAUUCCAGGGGGCAUGCUGUUUGAGCGUCAUUU